rnacentral:rRNA from 1 species
GAUGAACGCUGGCGGCGUGCCUAAUACAUGCAAGUCGAGCGAACGGACGAGAAGCUUGCUUCUCUGAUGUUAGCGGCGGACGGGUGAGUAACACGUGGAUAACCUACCUAUAAGACUGGGAUAACUUCGGGAAACCGGAGCUAAUACCGGAUAAUAUUUUGAACCGCAUGGUUCAAAAGUGAAAGACGGUCUUGCUGUCACUUAUAGAUGGAUCCGCGCUGCAUUAGCUAGUUGGUAAGGUAACGGCUUACCAAGGCAACGAUGCAUAGCCGACCUGAGAGGGGGAGGGGCAAAAUGGGAAAUGAGGAAGGGGACAGACUCAGACGGGAGGAAGGAGUAGGGAAGGGUGAGCAAGGGGCGAAAGCAUGAAGGAGAAACGCAGCGUGAGUGAUGAAGGGAUUCGGAUAGUAAAAAGCUGUUAGUAGGGAAGAAAAGAUGUGUAAGGAAAUGUGCACAGCUUGACGGGACAGAAUCAGAGAGAAAAGGAGAACUAAGU